GGUAGGUUUAAAUAUGCUUAUUGUUAAUUUAAUUGGUCCACGUCAUGCCUGCACCCCAAAAUGUGCGUGAAUGGAGGCGCUGGAAUGACGUUGGCCACUGGGAGUCGACUGCAAUAUUCAGCUCCCAUUUCCCCUUUAGGAACAUGCUCACAAUGCGAGCAGCGUUCCCAAUACUGUACGGGCCGCGCGCCAGAUCAGAUUGUUCAGCACGCACAGC